rnacentral:rRNA from 1 species
AUUGAACGCUGGCGGCAGGCCUAACACAUGCAAGUCGAACGAGUGGCGGACGGGUGAGUAAUGUCUGGGAAACUGCCCGAUGGAGGGGGAUAACUACUGGAAACGGUAGCUAAUACCGCAUACUAUCGGAUGGGCCCAGAUGGGAUUAGCUAGUAGGAGGGGUAACGGCUCACCUAGGCAACGAUCCCUAGCUGGUGUGAGAGGAUGACCAGCCACACUGGAACUGAGAGACGGUCCGGAUUCCUACGGGAGGCAGCAGGGGGGAAUAUUGGACAAUGGGCGCAAGCCUGAUGCAGCCAUGCCGGGGGUAUGAAGAAGGCCUUGGGGUUGUAAAGUACUUUCAGGGAGGAGGCGUUACUCGCAGAAUAAGCACCGGCUAACUCCGUGCCAGCAGCCGCGGUAAGAC